GUUGCACAUUGUUAGAGCUUGGGGUAAGGCCCCUGGCGGGCCUGCCGACCCCCAAGUGUAGGUAGUGUGCUACAUGAGGGGGAGGCUUCCGCGGACACUCCACUCUGGCCCAGUGGGUGGAGCUUGACAGUAACCCUUGCUACAAGU
ensembl:snoRNA SNORA62 Small nucleolar RNA SNORA62/SNORA6 family